rnacentral:rRNA from 1 species
UACAGAGGGUGCAAGCGUUGUUCGGAAUUACUGGGCGUAAAGCGCGUGUAGGCGGUUUGAUAAGUCAGACGUGAAAUCCCUCAGCUUAACUGAGGAAUUGCAUCUGAUACUGUCAGACUUGAGUAUCGGAGGGGAUGGUGGAAUUCCUGGUGUAGAGGUGAAAUUCGUAGAUAUCAGGAGGAACACCUGUGGCGAAGGCGGUGCUCUGGGCCGGAACUGACGCUGAGGAGCGAAAGCGUGGGGAGCAAACAGG